CGCGGGAAGCAGGCAGAUCCUCUUCGGAGGUGACGCUUGUGGAACGAGCGGCGGACGGGUGAGUAACACGUGGGCAACCUGCCUGUAAGAUUGGGAUAACCCCGGGAAACCGGGGCUAAUACCGGAUAAUACUUUUCGUUGCAUAACGAGAAGUUGAAAGGCGGCUUUUAGCUGUCACUUACAGAUGGGCCCGCGGCGCAUUAGCUAGUUGGUAAGGUAACGGCUUACCAAGGCGACGAUGCGUAGCCGACCUGAGAGGGUGAUCGGCCACACUGGGACUGAGACACGGCCCAGACUCCUACGGGAGGCAGCAGUAGGGAAUCUUCCGCAAUGGACGAAAGUCUGACGGAGCAACGCCGCGUGAGUGAUGAAGGUUUUCGGAUCGUAAAACUCUGUUGUCAGGGAAGAACAAGUGCCGUUCAAAUAGGGCGGCACCUUGACGGUACCUGACCAGAAAGCCCCGGCUAACUACGUGCCAGCAGCCGCGGUAAUACGUAGGGGGCAAGCGUUGUCCGGAAUUAUUGGGCGUAAAGCGCGCGCAGGCGGUCCUUUAAGUCUGAUGUGAAAGCCCACGGCUUAACCGUGGAGGGCCAUUGGAAACUGGAGGACUUGAGUACAGAAGAGGAGAGUGGAAUUCCACGUGUAGCGGUGAAAUGCGUAGAGAUGUGGAGGAACACCAGUGGCGAAGGCGACUCUCUGGUCUGUAACUGACGCUGAGGUGCGAAAGCGUGGGGAGCGAACAGGAUUAGAUACCCUGGUAGUCCACGCCGUAAACGAUGAGUGCUAGGUGUUAGGGGGUUUCC
rnacentral:rRNA from 1 species